AACAAGGUCUCCGUUGGUGAACCAGCGGAGGGAUCAUUAUCGAGUUAUUCAACUCCCAAACCCUAUGUGAACUUACCACUUGUUGCUUCGGCGCGCGCUUCGGCGCCGCCGAGGACACUUAAACUCUUUGUUUUUAUAAGCAUUUCUGAGUGACCGAAAGGCAAAAAUACAAAUGAAUCAAAACUUUCAACAACGGAUCUCUUGGUUCUGGCAUCGAUGAAGAACGCAGCGAAAUGCGAUAAGUAAUGUGAAUUGCAGAAUUCAGUGAAUCAUCGAAUCUUUGAACGCACAUUGCGCCCGCCAGCAUUCUGGCGGGCAUGCCUGUUCGAGCGUCAUUUCAACCCUCGAGCCCGACUCUUUUGAGGACGGCUCGGCGUUGGGGGACGGCAGACUCCCCCCGGCAUCUCGCCGGGGACGCCGCCCCCGAAAUCUAGUGGCGGCCCUCCGAGGCGACCUCUGCGUAGUAACUUGUUCUCGCACCGGAAAGCUCAGAGCGGCCACGCCGUAAAACCCCAACUUUUUUCAGGUUGACCUCGAAUCAGGUAGGACUACCCGCUGAACUUAAGCAUAUCAAUA
rnacentral:rRNA from 1 species